rnacentral:rRNA from 1 species
UGUAGUCUGCAACUCGACUACAUGAAGCUGGAAUCGCUAGUAAUCGCGAAUCAGAAUGUCGCGGUGAAUACGUUCCCGGGUCUUGUACACACCGCCCGUCACACCAUGGGAGUCAGUAACGCCCGAAGUCAGUGACCCAACCAAUCAGGAGGGAGCUGCCGAAGGUGGGACCGAUAACUGGGGUGAAGUCGUAACAAGGUACC